AGGGGUGGAAUUGCACGCGGCUGGGCUGGGAUGUGCUGGGCUUGCUGGGUGGGGGCAAAUACAACUGUUCGCUAGAUGCCGGGGGGGCAGGACACCCCCACACCCCCAUGCACCCCCAAAACUCUUCCUUAGCAAGCAUACUGGGGGGAUUUCAGUAGGAUGCUGAAUGUGGAGAUGGGGAGGAGGGGUGAGGAGGGCAGCCAAAUGCCUCCUCUUCGUUUAAACCAGAUAUUGAGGCAGAGAAAUCUGGGCAAAGCCAAAUAUUUCCUGUCCCAAUGGAAGACUCUGGUUAAAGUGUGCACUUUGCUUUGGUUAAAACAGCCGUGCGUAUCAUCUCGGAGACUGACUCAGUGCCUGCCCAUUGUCUCUCUAGGAUGACCGGGAAUAACAGCUUGUAUCUUCACUCCCUGGAUGUAAAAUUCUUUCAAACCUUUUGCAAAAAGCCUGUAGGUUUUGACAACGUAUUCCUUAUGGGGGAAAAAAAUAAAAAAUCACAGCGAUGGUCUCGAGCAGCCCUGGCUGUGAUCUUUAGCUGCCUGGGAGCGAGCCGCGGGCAGGGACGCGGGCUGAAUAACAAGGACUCCCACGGCUGCGGAGGACAGGACGAUAUAUUUUUGCAGGGCAGUAAAACCCGCUUGAUGCCGGGCUCGGGCAGGAGCUGAGGCUCUGAUCUGCUCCUUCCCUACCUCCAGGUACGGCAUUCCAUGGCUCCAGCCCCGCGCCGGCACAGCACAUUCCUGAUAUCCCAUCCUUGCGGCGGUUUUCGAGGCGUGAGCGAUGCCGAGCAGGGGCUCGCCUGGACCCCGCAGGUUUUGGGCAGCUGUUGAAAGAGACUCUAUUACAGAGCGCUCUGUAUUUAAUCUCCCCCCUGCCUACCUAAAUCAUGGGGAAAGGUUUUACACAUGGCUCUGACAGCGCCGAACGGCUCUACCGGAGAGGGAUGCGGGGAAUUUAUAGCGCACCGACUGCUGCUGGGUAAUACGCAGGCGAGGCUCCGAGCGGGGAAGGAUUUCUGGGUUUAUCGGAAGGGGAGUACAAACCUAAGGCAGGAGCCGGCUUGGAAUCUUCCCAGCUCAGGGGGUUUAACCUGCGGGACCGAAGGCUUUUAGGGCUGAUGCGGGGGUGUGGGGAUUGCCCUGAGGGGUGCCCGGGUGCCCCAUCCCCCCCUGGGGACCGGGGAGGGCAUGUCCGGGGGGGAUGCACGAUUUUCUGAUGCCAGACAGCUGCACCGGGGAGGGGGUGAGAGAUGAGCUGGGUUUGGGGAGGUGGGAAUUGAUGCCCAGCAUCCCAAGAGCUACAUCCCGACCCUGGGCAAGGCUGGGUGAAGGCACAGGAUGGGUGUGGAGGGCACCUGCCUUUCCCUUUUUGCCCUCCCAGGCUCUUCCACAGCAUCGGCAGUGCCCUGGGUGCUGGGGUCCAUCGCCUUAAACCAAAAAAGCAGCCCGUUUUUGAGCCCAGCUGGGUUUCUGCAGGUGGAAGGAAAGGCUGAGCUUGUCCUGAGCUCACCGGAGGCUGUUCUCUCCCGGGAUGGACCGUUUCCCGACCACACCAAGAGGCUGAAUCUCUGCUUGGAGGGUGGUUUGCGUUAGUGCCGGGGGGGGUGUCUUUCCUCCAGCAUCCCCUGCUCUGCACCUCCUCCCUAAACUCUGCCCACCAGUCCUGUACCCAGAGACUCCCUUUGCGCCUGCUUUUCCGUUUUAAUCUCUUGUACUCCCACUAUUUUUGAGUCGUCUUCGGCUUGGAGAUAUCUCUUUUUUUCCUCCUCCUCUCUCUCUUACCCUUCACGCUACCAUCAGCUUUCUGACACAGGAGUUUUAUUGGAAUAAAAGUAGAUUUUUAUCUCCCAAGCCUGUUUAUUAAACUCUCUCCCUUCUUUCACAGUAAGCUACCACCCACCCUCCCGGACGUUUGUCGAUUCAAAUCAGGUUUAAUCAACUCACAAUAUUGGACACAGUAAAAUUGGAUUUCUGAAAGCCCAAUAAAGUUGUGCCACCGCGCUGUACCGUAGCUCGAGGAGCUCAGAUUUCAUCACAUCAUGUCGGCAGCCGCAAGAAACAGCCCAUAAGAAACUCAUCUACUGCGCUCCGGCAAGCUGCUAAAAAUGGAUGAAGCCUCUCCCGAAGAAAUAUUGACUAUUAGUAUUCUUAUUAACAUUCUGCUGUCAGAAAUGACCAGUGGUAAUAAAUACAGCUGUAUCUUUUCAUCGUCCUGCCCGUUCAUCACUGUCUGGCUGAGCUUCCCUCGGGGCUGGGCAUGGUCCCCGCCGCCCCGUCUCCUUGCCCAAAAGGAGCCGUUUGCCCUCACGCUGUAACCUUGAUUAUUUUUGUUUUAUUAUUAUUAUUAUUAUUACUGUUAUUUCCUUUUUUUCUCUUUGACACAGCAAACAGCAGAGCAAGAUGGAGUGCCUGAGAACAGCUCGCUCCGCGCCUCCCCCGGCAGAAGGUCUCCCGGUGAUGGGAAAGGGCAGGAUGCGGUCCAGACGCCCGCGAUGCUCCUGCUCCCCUCUAAUUUAGAGUUCUACGGUUAUAACGAGAGAUAUUGCUAGCCUUGGAUUAUCCUCACGUCUUAUUUCUUCCCUAAUCUUGGGUGAGCUUUAGCGCCGGGGUAAAUCAAGCUGUAUUUAUGCCAUUGCUUUGCACUAAGCCUGGCAGAGCUGCCCUUGCCCUCGGUCGCCGCCUCCUUUUGCCGAUGCAAACCUUCCCGGGGCCGCCCCGUAAACCUGAUCCAGGAACCCAUCCCAACUCGACCAACCUUUUUUUCCUUUCUUUGCAGGCUGGUUUUCAUCCCGAGGAGCUCCCUGAUCCGGCUGGAUGUGUCUGCAGGUUGGCACUGGUCGUGUACGGGAAGGGGAAUAAGCCGUGGUGGGAGCAGAGGGAAGAAAACUGCCUUUUUGGCGUUAUUAAUGGGACUGGGAUGCUGGUGUGAGGCAGCAGGUCCGGGCUUGACUCUUUGCCCAGAAGCGUUACCUGGAUGAGAGCAAAUUGGCAGCAAAAUCCCUGUUUACAAACUCAUUUAAAGGCAGACCAGGGCCCCGUGUCUCCUUUAAUUCUGGCAUUUUCCCUCGCUUGCUGCAAAACCAGCCGCCGAGCAAGUGUGCAAUAGAUAACGUUGUAAUUAACGCCAAGGGGGAGCAAAUCCAUGUAUUAACAAACGUUUUUUUCCCAACGCAGGGCAAAGGGAGGGGGAAUUUACUGCUGCCGACCCGGCGAUUUCCUUCCUCCCAAAUUCUUCCGGCUGUUCUGUUUCACUGCUCCUUCUCGCAGGGCUUGCGGCGUUCAGCUUUGCCUGAGCAGGUGGGAUUGCAGGAGCCUGGACCGCUCCUGCCCGUGCCGGAGGGGGAAUCCAAGGAAUGAUUUCCGCAUUUAACACCAACUGAUCACGAAGCAUCUGCAGCUCCGCGGAGAGACGGCUCCUGGAGACCAGCAGCUCCGGGCAGGCUCCGCUUUCGGUGCAAUCGAUGGCUUAAGCCCUGGAUGCCCUUCAGUGCCGUUGGUGCGACGGAGAUGGAGGAUGCUCCGAGGGUCCAUCCCCAGUGGGUCACAGAGGGGUCCCCAAGGGCUGCCAGGGAAAAUGCUGCCGCCUCCUUCACCCGGACGAGCUCCCGGCGUGUUUGAGACCAUUAAUUAGGCUUUGCCAUCAGUAACGAAGACAGACUCCCCCUCCAGAGCAAGCGCGGGCAGGUGCUUACAGCCGACGCUCCGGCCACCGCUGGGGUCAGAAAUAUCCUUGCAUCUCCCAAACUGGAGCGAUCUCUCCCUCCGGCCCUCGGUCAUUAAAAGGAAAUUAAUUUCACUGGGCACCAAAGUUGGUGCGUUCAGCUGGUGGGAGCCAACCCUACGGAAAUCGGGAGCAGAUCCGGGCAGUGGCGUUUCCCGCUGCACCAGCCGGAAGCACGCAGGAUACAGCAAACAUGUCUCUCCAUGGUCAGGGAGGGACCCACUACGUUUUAAAAAAGUGAUUUAUGCUCUAAUCGGUCUUGAAGCUUCAUUAUUCCAAGCAUUAGCGUGUCUGAGCCAGUGGCCUUAUUUGUUAAUGCACUGAAAGCAGCAGCAGAUGUGCUAUUUUUCAUCUGUGACCCGAUCAGCUCGCUGAUUCAUCUACUUCCAUUUUCAUUCCCCUGUCACUGAUUUAUUAAUGAUGUCUUACUUAUCUGGGGCUCUUUCGGAGGGCCCCUAUGGCUCAGCCCCCGGAGAGAUGCCGGAGGAGCCCUCUCCCCUCCCCAAAUAUCCUGUUUUUCAAACCAUAUUCAUCCUCAUCGCUCCAGAGAUUAGACACUUUGAUCAUUUAGUAACUGAAACAACCUCUGCGGCUUGUACAAUUUGUGGAUAAUUUGCUGACAGAGCAACCUCCCUUUUUUUCCACCACAGACAGGGUACCCCAUCCUCUGGGAUUGUCUUUGGGCAUGGGGGGGACACGGUGGCUCCAUCCAGGAGCUUCAAGGAAUGCAGAGGGAGGAUGUCCAGGCUGCAAAAACUGACCGUUUUUUCUUGCUUUUCUAUACUCUCUGGGUUGGUCCAGCCUGGAAUAAUCCCAGGGGCAGAAUUUGUGCAAGAAGCACAAUUUCCCCCUUACUUGGAAAAGCUGGUGGGGAGUUCGAUCAAACCGUGGGGAGCUUGUGGGGAUUUUCUUGAACAAGCAAGUCCUUUCUGCGCUGCCUAUUUGACCUGGACCAUGCUGGAUCCAUGAGAAAUUAUUUCUUUUCUGCCUCCUAGUCUGAAAAAUGUCUUUAUUCCCACAUCUCUCCUAACGGCGAGCCUGGAGCAGGUUGUUGGUUUGCCUUUGUCGUGUAAGGGGAUUUUCCUCCUGCCUCUCUCCCGUUGGUGACUCUCUUCUGGACAAACCACCAAGCAGAGGGAGCCGCGGGGACCCUGGGAAAAAGCUGUGGCCAGCCCUGUCCCACAGUGUCCCCAGGGUUGUCUGUCCGUGGCUGCUGCCAGGCUCUUGGCACCCAGCAUCUCUCAGCCUUUUUUCCUCCUGAAACCUUUUUUCGCUUGGCAUCACGCUUUGCCAAGCUGCCCAGAGUAAACCCAUGCCUAAAAAGCCCUUCUUACUGAAAAGCGCCUUUUUGCUGAGCAACUCUGACCUUCGGGGCUUUUCAGAAACCUAAUUCCACCAUUAAACACACACGCAGAAAACCCCUGGAUUUGGGGAAAAGUCAUUCGAGGUUUAUUCAUAAAUCCUCUGUGCUCUCAUUCAGCCAUCCCUAAAGCAUCAUCCCUCGCAUGAUACCAAGAUGCUCCUAUAAAUGGCUCCUUGCUCCCGCUUUUCCUGCUGGGAAAGGCUGGAAUAGGCUCUCUGUUCCCAGCUGCUCAGCUGAAUCCCUGGGGAGAACCAUCUUUUGCUUCUGGGGCUAUUUGAGGGAUUUACGGUGUUGUUCAAGUAACUGAUCCCUGAGCCUCAGAUGUGCCAGCGAUCUCCCGGCUCCAUCCCAUCACUCCUCUGAUUUCCAGCCCGGUUAACUCCUUGGCUCUUUGCAGGAUGGUUGGCUCAUUAUACAGUAUCUUGGCCUUUACUGGAGACGUGGCUU